GCUCCAAUAGCGUAUAUUUAAGUUGUUGCAGUUAAAAAGCUCGUAGUUGGAUUUCGGUUGCGAACGACCGGUCCGCCGUUUGGUGUGCACUGGUUGGUUGCAGCUUCCUGUAGAGGACACGCUCUGGGGUUAACGCUUCGGACGUGGAGUCUACGUGGUUACUUUGAAAAAAUUAGAGUGUUCAAAGCGGGCUUACGCUU
rnacentral:rRNA from 1 species